GUAGAUGUUGAGGCCAUGUGCUAUGAGUGCGGGGUCCAGGAGAUGGUGAAACCUUUCUGGAGCGUGUGAAGAAGUGGAAAUUCUGCUAAAGGAGUGCAGAGCAAGGACGAGAGAAAACUCGACCAUGGAUUUUUAACAGCAGGCGUGUGAAUUGUGGGAUGGCAACUAUAAAACCGCAAAUAUCCGAGCCAGAGUUUCCUUAUGUUGAAGCUUCACACCCAAAGAGAGAAAGAGACAGACACAGAGAGACACUCUUUGAUGCAACGAACCAGGGGCCAGAAAGGAAAGCACUCCACCCACAGGUCUGGACCCUCACCAGCCCCUGCAGAGCAAACCUUGAUGGCUGCCUAGGGUUUCACUUUCAACCUCAGGCUGACAGAAAUGUUCAUGAGUCACCAAAUUCCCUGUGAACAGAAACGACCCGGCUUCUCACACCUCCAGGGACCGCGGGACGGUGGUGGCGGACACCGUGUGGUCUCAGUCCUGGGUUCUCCUGGCCCAUUUGAUGUCCUUAAGGGCAUAUUUGGGAUGGGCCACCGGUGCGUGAACGACAGGCACAUUUCGCCCCCACAUGGGGCAGCCGCAGCUGGUGAGUGGAGCCGGAGUCCACCUGUGUAUGGACAGGGGUCAAAACCCGACUUGGCUGUGGACUGCCUUGAGACCAGUCAUCUUUCAAUGUGCUCGUAAAAAUGAAACCUCUACUAGUGGCCGAGUUCUGGGCUCUUGUUUCAAGUUCUGCUCAGUUUCACGUUCAGGUUGAACAAAUGGUCUCAACCCUGACAGACAUGGAUGCCAAGGAACAAGCAAGAAAAAAGUGUGUGUUCUGUUUGGUUUUGUGAAUGGAUUUUUAAGAAAUCUGCUUGUCUUACUGAAAAAAAUCUUGUUGAGAAUCCUUACAUGUCAACGACAUUGCUAGCUUUUCCUGCGACAAGAAACUCAGACAAUAGGCUAUCAAGCUCAGGGAUCAUCCAAUUCCAAGUAACACACUUCCUCCAGCCUGCUGAAAAAGAGCAGCUGUUCGGGAGGACAGAGGUUAUCGCGUGGAGACCACGGGCAGGAAGGGGAGCCAGGGUGGAUCUCAUCUUGGGAUGAGGGAUGGGAGCCCAGUCAGGGACCAGCCUCUUCCCUGGGGACCAGCAGGGGGGCUUAUCUCUGCUUCUCUGUUUUUCAGCAUCAGUUCUCUUUACAGAUGGCUUUUCCUGCUUCUCAGAAACCUCAGCCCCAUGUCACUUCCCCGUCUCAGGGCUCCCACCCAACCAAGCCUUCUAGGUUCCCCUUCCAAAUUUCUGGGAGAGAUUUCUGGUUUGGAUUACUAGUGACCAGCUCCCCGCGUCCACCCUUGGUUCCACAGCUCUGGCCAGGGCGGCAGCGUGUUGAGUGAGCAGGCGGCUGGGACCCAGUGCUGUGGGUGUGAGAGGCUGUUCUGAAAGGACUGUGGUUUGGGCGCCCCCGCCAACAGUUAUCAUUCUUGGCACUCAGAUGGCUCCACGGAUAUCAUAGAACUCACUCAACAUCUUCUUAAAUUUAGCAGAGUGAGCAAAAUUGUCUUACAGAUAGGAAGACAAAGGUUGGUGUUUCAGUAAACUGCCUAAAUCAAUUUGCAAGCCGAGUUGCUAGCUCCAGACUCAGUCUUUGCCGUGUUCCCUAUUGCUUGCUCCCUCGCACUGUGAGGGCUGGCCGAGGAUGCUCUGUGUCUUUUUGAGAGGAGUGAUGGAGUUUGUCCAGAUAAUCUGCAGGGAACCCAGGCAGAAGAUCAAGGAGAUCCGUGGUUUAUGCCACAUCCUUUCACCAAAGAAAAAAAUAAAUAAAUAAAACAUCUCUUCGCCAAAGUGCAGUCUGGUUCGGCAGGGAGGAUCCUGGUCCCUUGAGAAAGUGGUCACCCAGAUCAAAUGAUGGUGACUUGGCCCCAUCGGGUUGUGCCUGGCAUUUUGUCAUCAAUAAAAAAGACUUAUUAAAAUUCAUGUUGAAAUAUUCUUCCAUCACUCUGAAAGUAUUCACUUUGCUCAUCUGAAAAAUAAAACCAACUUGCCAGUUUCUA
rnacentral:lncRNA from 9 species